GCUCGCGUAGCUCAGCUGGACGAGCAUUGGUCUUCUAUACCAUCGGACGCAGGUUCGAACCCUGCCGCGAGUA
rnacentral:tRNA from 1 species